UAGGGGAGGCGUAGCGAAAGCGAGUCUGAUAAGGGCGAUUGAGUUGCUGGGCGUAGACCGAAACCAAGUGAUCUAUCCAUGGCCAGGAUGAAGGUGCGGUAACACGCACUGGAGGUCCGAACCCACUAAUUGAAAAAUUAGGGGAUGAGCUGUGGAUAGGGGUGAAAGGCUAAACAAACUUGGAAAUAGCUGGUUCUCCCCGAAAACUAUUUAGGUAGUGCCUCGUGCGGACACUUCCGGGGGGUAGAGCACUGUAAUCUUGGGGGGGUCAUUGCGAUCUACCCCGCGAUAGCAAACUCCGAAUACCGGAAAGUGAUACACGGGAGACAGACGGUGGGUGCUAACGUCCAUCGUCAAGAGGGAAACAACCCAGACCGCCAGCUAAGGUCCCAAAUCCAUGGCUAAGUGGAAAACGAGGUGGAAGGCAUAGACAGCUAGGAGGUUGGCUUAGAAGCAGCCACCCUUUAAAGAAAGCGUAAUAGCUCACUAGUCGAGUCGUCCUGCGCGGAAGAUGUAACGGG
rnacentral:rRNA from 1 species